rnacentral:misc_RNA from 1 species
GUGAAUCAUCAAAUUUUUGAACGCAAAUUGCACUUUCUGGUAUUCCGGAAAGUAUGCCUGUUUGAGGGUCAGUAUAAUAAAAAUCGUCGUUGUUGCUGCCUUUUGUGGUGACGCGUGGGAUUUGGGUCGUCUUACCUUUGGGUAUGUGACUUAAAAUUUUUGCAUGUUUUUCGAACGUUUUUAAAUCGCUUACGUAUGUUUGAUAUAUCUAUUGUUUAUUAGGUUCUGUCAUUCCCAUGAUUCGCGCCUAUA